UGGAACAGUUGCUUGAGAAAUUAAUGUACAAGUGGCUGAGCAUUCUACAGACAGGUGAGCCCUUAAUGUAGUUCUCAACGAGAUUCAGCGUGGCAAAGAGUGUGACAACGCUGGCCCUUUCCAAUUACAGGUACCACACAUUUUUGCCAUGCCAGCUGAGUGAACUGGAACAACG